rnacentral:piRNA from 1 species
UGGACACUCAUUUGAAGACAAGGACUU